rnacentral:rRNA from 1 species
CCUACGGGAGGCAGCAGUGAGGAAUAUUGGUCAAUGGGCGGAAGCCUGAACCAGCCAAGUAGCGUGCGGGAUGAAGGCCCUACGGGUCGUAAACCGCUUUUGCACGGGGAUAACACCCUCCACUUGUGGAGGUCUGCAGGUACCGUGCGAAUAAGGGCCGGCUAAUUCCGUGCCAGCAGCCGCGGUAAUACGGGAGGCCAGAGCGUUAUCGGGAUUCAUUGGGGUAAACGGGAGCGUAGGCGGGCGGGCAAGUCAGCUGUAAAAUCGCGCGGCUCAACCGCGCCCCGCAGUUGAAACUGGACGCCUUGAGUGCACAACAGGCGGGAGGAAUUCGAGGUGUAGCGGUGAAAUGCAUAGAUAUAACGAGGAACCCCGAUGGCGAAGGCAGCCUGCCGGGGUGCGACUGACGCUGAGGCUCGAAGGUGCGGGUAUCAAACAGGAUUAGAUACCCCUGUAGUC